UUUUCAAGCGUUAUGAAACACAGAGAAAAAACGAACAUCAAAGGAAAUGAUUUUCUGGAUUUGCUGAUAGACUUGAAGAAAAAUCAAGAUUUUAGAGAAAAAUUCGCUUUUGAGACAACCGAAGCGACAGCGCAGGCAUUCCAAUUUUUCGUAGCGGGCUUUGAAACGACCAGCUCUACGAUAUCAUACACAUUGUACGAGCUGUGUAAGCGUCCGAAAUAUCAAAAUACCUUGAGAGAAGAAAUAAAGGCCGCUAUGGCUAAAGAUGGUGAUAUAACCUACGAAAAUUUGAUGGG
rnacentral:misc_RNA from 1 species